AUUUCUUUCCUGAUACUUUGAGUUCUACACAAAAGGAAAAUUAGGCAAGAAAGCAUGGGGAAAGGAAGCAUAGGAAGAAUUAUCAAUCCGUUUACAUCUCUUUGGAAGUUGCUAAAAAGAAUCUAGCAUCUUUGGAGAUGCUAGAAAGAAUAAGCACAUUUCUUUCAUUUACAUAAUCUUUUUCAAAUUCCCUCCCUCAACCUGUUUUUAAAGUCUGGAGUCUUAAAGCAGACCCACAGUUGAUUUGUCAUUAGCCUUGAGCUGAAGAAUAAAGGAUAGGAUCUUUCUGACCUGUGAGUUUCUGGAGCUUUUUCAAUUUUUGCUGCUUUGAAGUCUAGAGAGGCACAAAGAGAAAAGAAUAAAAUCAGAAAAUGUUCUAGGUUAGAGAAUCAAGAGCACAUUUCCUCUUACAGACACAAAUAUUGAUCCAGUUGGUGUCCAUAACCACAGCACAACUGGCACCCCAUGCAUGUAUUCAUAGAUCAUUUAAUGAGUGCUUACUAAGUUCUAGGCAUUAGGUUGGGUGCUAGGACUACAAAGAUAAAUAUGACCCCUGUAUUCUGGGAAUUCACAUUAAUGGGGAAAACAGACGUCUAAACAGCUAAGUUAUAAUACAGUGUGGUAAAUAUAUAACACAUAAAUAAUAUAUAAAUAAAUAUAUAACAGAAACAUCUAAAUAUAUUGAUAAAUAAAUUUAUUAAAAUUUAUAGAUAUAUUAAUAAAUAUAUAACAGAAAUAUAAGUGUUAGAGAAUAAAAGGACAGGGAUUAACUGCCUGGGAGAGAUGGGAAAAAUUCCUCAAGAAGUGGCCAUUUGUACUGGAGUCUGAAGAAUCAGCAGAAAGUUUUUAGGUGAAAAAAGAGCAUUCCAGGCAAGUCAAAAGCAUCAUCGUCAAGAAGAUUGUAAAGUCAUGAGUGUCAGGUGCACAUUUGCUAAGACAAAAGCUGAAAAUAGAAGUGGAAGCCAGAUUUUGCCAAAUGAUGGAAUUUUUAUUUUAUCCUUUAGGUCAGAAUUUCCUGAUCAGUAACGUAAACUCCUGAGUUUUUUGCAAGCAUGUUCCAGGUCACUUUAAAGGCAGAAAUUACAUUUGUUACCAUUUCAAAUAAAACAGUUUUUAUUUCUCCCUUUUGAAUCAUGACAUCAGUCUCGGAGAGUGUAUCAUAAGAGCCUACAUAAUAUUAUUCAUAGUAUUGCCAAAUGUUUUAGCUAAACAAAAAGUGUUAAAAGCAAAAAUUCUCCCAAGAAUGGUGGUUCAACAUAAGAAAGUCAAUCAAUGUGAUACACCACAUUAAUAACACAAAGGGGGAAAAAGCUGGACAGUUAAUCUCAACUGGGGGAGAAAAAGGAUUGCCAAAAUCCCACACCUAUUCAUGAUUUAAUAAAAAAAAUAAAAACACUCAACAAACUAGGGAUAGAAGGGAAUUUCCUCAAUAUAGUAAGGGGUAUUAAUGAAAAACCCACAGCUAAUAUCAUUCUCAAUAGUGAAAGCCUGAGAGCUUUUCUUUUAGGGUAGUGAACAGACAAGGAUGCUCAAUUUCACUACUUUUCUUUAACAUUGUGCUAGAAACUCCAACCAGAGCAAUUAGGUAAGAAAAAUAAAAGCCAUCCUUUCCUUUGGAAAGGAAAAGUUAAACAAUCUCUAUCUCUAUUCAUAGACGACAUAAUCUUAUUUACAGAAAAUCGUAAAGAAUACACACACACACACACACACACA